rnacentral:rRNA from 1 species
AGAACGAACGCUGGCGGCAUGCCUAACACAUGCAAGUCGAACGAGACCUUCGGGUCUAGUGGCGCACGGGUGCGUAACGCGUGGGAACCUGCCCUUAGGUUCGGAAUAACUCCUCGAAAGGGGUGCUAAUACCGGAUGAUGUCUUCGGACCAAAGAUUUAUCGCCUAUGGAUGGGCCCGCGUUGGAUUAGCUAGUUGGUGAGGUAAAGGCUCACCAAGGCGACGAUCCAUAGCUGGUCCUAGAGGAUGAUCAGCCACACUGGGACUGAGACACGGCCCAGACUCCUACGGGAGGCAGCAGUGGGGAAUAUUGGACAAUGGGCGAAAGCCUGAUCCAGCAAUGCCGCGUGAGUGAUGAAGGCCUUAGGUGUAAAGCUCUUUACCCGGGAUGAUAAUGACAGUACCGGAGAAUAAGCCCGCUAACUCCGUGCCAGCAGCCGC